CCGUUGUUAUUUCGGCUCAAG
rnacentral:sRNA from 1 species